CGCACAUUGCGCCCUUUGGUAUUCCGAGGGGCAUGCCUGUUCGAGCGUCAUUUAAACCAUCAAGCACCGCUUGGCGUUGGACCUGGGUCUCUAGAAAGCACCCGGUCCGAAACCUAGAGUGGCGGUUCCCGUCGAGCCUCAAGCGUAGCAAGAAUUACUCCCUCGCUUCAAAGGCCUCGGGUGGGACCGGCCCCGAAAAUCACCCCUAAAGUUUGACCUCGGAUCAGGUAGGGAUACCCGCUGAACUUAA
rnacentral:misc_RNA from 1 species